rnacentral:rRNA from 1 species
GGGUUGUGAGGUUAAGCGACUAAGCGUACACGGUGGAUGCCCUGGCAGUCAGAGGCGAUGAAGGACGUGCUAAUCUGCGAAAAGCGUCGGUAAGGUGAUAUGAACCGUUAUAACCGGCGAUGUCCGAAUGGGGAAACCCAGUGCAAUUCGUUGCACUAUCGUUAACUGAAUACAUAGGUUAACGAGGCGAACCGGGGGAACUGAAACAUCUAAGUACCCCGAGGAAAAGAAAUCAACCGAGAUUCCCCCAGUAGCGGCGAGCGAACGGGGAGCAGCCCAGAGUCUGAAUCAGCUUGUGUGUUAGUGGAACGGUCUGGAAAGUCCGACGGUACAGGGUGAUAGUCCCGUACACCAAAAUGCACAGGCUGUGAACUCGAAGAGUAGGGCGGGACACGUGGUAUCCUGUCUGAAUAUGGGGGGACCAUCCUCCAAGGCUAAAUACUCCUGACUGACCGAUAGUGAACCAGUACCGUGAGGGAAAGGCGAAAAGAACCCCGGCGAGGGGAGUGAAAAAGAACCUGAAACCGUGUACGUACAAGCAGUGGGAGCACCUUCGGGUGUGACUGCGUACCUUUUGUAUAAUGGGUCAGCGACUUAUAUUCUGUAGCAAGGUUAACCGUAUAGGGGAGCCGCAGGGAAACCGAGUCUUAACUGGGCGUUAAGUUGCAGGGUAUAGACCCGAAACCCGGUGAUCUAGCCAUGGGCAGGUUGAAGGUUGGGUAACACUAACUGGAGGACCGAACCGACUAAUGUUGAAAAAUUAGCGGAUGACUUGUGGCUGGGGGUGAAAGGCCAAUCAAACCGGGAGAUAGCUGGUUCUCCCCGAAAGCUAUUUAGGUAGCGCCUCGUGAAUUCAUCUUCGGGGGUAGAGCACUGUUUCGGCUAGGGGGUCAUCCCGACUUACCAACCCGAUGCAAACUACGAAUACCGAAGAAUGUUAUCACGGGAGACACACGGCGGGUGCUAACGUCCGUCGUGAAGAGGGAAACAACCCAGACCGCCAGCUAAGGUCCCAAAGUCAUGGUUAAGUGGGAAACGAUGUGGGAAGGCACAGACAGCCAGGAUGUUGGCUUAGAAGCAGCCAUCAUUUAAAGAAAGCGUAAUAGCUCACUGGUCGAGUCGGCCUGCGCGGAAGAUGUAACGGGGCUAAACCAUGCACCGAAGCUGCGGCAGCGACACUAUGUGUUGUUGGGUAGGGGAGCGUUCUGUAAGCCUGCGAAGGUGUGCUGUGAGGCAUGCUGGAGGUAUCAGAAGUGCGAAUGCUGACAUAAGUAACGAUAAAGCGGGUGAAAAGCCCGCUCGCCGGAAGACCAAGGGUUCCUGUCCAACGUUAAUCGGGGCAGGGUGAGUCGACCCCUAAGGCGAGGCCGAAAGGCGUAGUCGAUGGGAAACAGGUUAAUAUUCCUGUACUUGGUGUUACUGCGAAGGGGGGACGGAGAAGGCUAUGUUAGCCGGGCGACGGUUGUCCCGGUUUAAGCAUGUAGGCUGGUUAUCCAGGCAAAUCCGGAUAAUCAAGGCUGAGGUGUGAUGACGAGGCACUACGGUGCUGAAGUAACAAAUGCCCUGCUUCCAGGAAAAGCCUCUAAGCAUCAGGUAACAUCAAAUCGUACCCCAAACCGACACAGGUGGUCAGGUAGAGAAUACCAAGGCGCUUGAGAGAACUCGGGUGAAGGAACUAGGCAAAAUGGUGCCGUAACUUCGGGAGAAGGCACGCUGGUGUGUAGGUGAAGCCCCUGCGGGUGGAGCUGAGACCAGUCGAAGAUACCAGCUGGCUGCAACUGUUUAUUAAAAACACAGCACUGUGCAAACACGAAAGUGGACGUAUACGGUGUGACGCCUGCCCGGUGCCGGAAGGUUAAUUGAUGGGGUUAUCCGUAAGGAGAAGCUCUUGAUCGAAGCCCCGGUAAACGGCGGCCGUAACUAUAACGGUCCUAAGGUAGCGAAAUUCCUUGUCGGGUAAGUUCCGACCUGCACGAAUGGCGUAAUGAUGGCCAGGCUGUCUCCACCCGAGACUCAGUGAAAUUGAACUCGCUGUGAAGAUGCAGUGUACCCGCGGCAAGACGGAAAGACCCCGUGAACCUUUACUAUAGCUUGACACUGAACAUUGAGCCUUGAUGUGUAGGAUAGGUGGGAGGCUUUGAAGCGUGGACGCCAGUCUGCGUGGAGCCAACCUUGAAAUACCACCCUUUAAUGUUUGAUGUUCUAACGUUGGCCCCUGACCGGGGUUGCGGACAGUGUCUGGUGGGUAGUUUGACUGGGGCGGUCUCCUCCUAAAGCGUAACGGAGGAGCACGAAGGUUAGCUAAUCCUGGUCGGACAUCAGGAGGUUAGUGCAAUGGCAUAAGCUAGCUUGACUGCGAGCGUGACGGCGCGAGCAGGUGCGAAAGCAGGUCAUAGUGAUCCGGUGGUUCUGAAUGGAAGGGCCAUCGCUCAACGGAUAAAAGGUACUCCGGGGAUAACAGGCUGAUACCGCCCAAGAGUUCAUAUCGACGGCGGUGUUUGGCACCUCGAUGUCGGCUCAUCACAUCCUGGGGCUGAAGUAGGUCCCAAGGGUAUGGCUGUUCGCCAUUUAAAGUGGUACGCGAGCUGGGUUUAGAACGUCGUGAGACAGUUCGGUCCCUAUCUGCCGUGGGCGCUGGAGAAUUGAGGGGGGCUGCUCCUAGUACGAGAGGACCGGAGUGGACGCAUCACUGGUGUUCGGGUUGUCAUGCCAAUGGCACUGCCCGGUAGCUAAAUGCGGAAGAGAUAAGUGCUGAAAGCAUCUAAGCACGAAACUUGCCCCGAGAUGAGUUCUCCCUGAGACUUUAAGUCUCCUGAAGGAACGUUAAAGACGAUGACGUUGAUAGGCCGGGUGUGUAAGCGCAGCGAUGCGUUGAGCUAACCGGUACUAAUGAACCGUGAGGCUUAACCUUACAACGCCGAAG